UUGAAGGCUGAAAUUCGCCUUCAUGAAGCUGGAAUUGCUAGUAAUGGCAGGUCAGCAUACUGCCGUGAAUACGUUCCCGGGCCUUGUACACACCGCCCGUCACACCAUGAGAGUUGGAAAUACCCGAAGCCUGUGAGCUAACUUAAAGAGGCAGCAGUCGGAGGUAGAGCCAAUGAUUGGGGUGAAGUCGUAACAAGGUACC
rnacentral:rRNA from 1 species